AUAACCAAUCGAAAGAUUGGCUAAUACCGCAUACGCUCUGAGGAGGAAAGCAGGGGACCUUCGGGCCUUGCGUUAUUCGAGCGGCCAAUAUCUGAUUAGCUAGUUGGUGGGGUAAGGGCCUACCAAGGCGACGAUCAGUAGCGGGUCUGAGAGGAUGAUCCGCCACACUGGGACUGAGACACGGCCCAGACUCCUACGGGAGGCAGCAGUGGGGAAUUUUGGACAAUGGGCGCAAGCCUGAUCCAGCCAUGCCGCGUGUCUGAAGAAGGCCUUCGGGUUGUAAAGGACUUUUGUUAGGGAAGAAAAAGGAGCGGUUAAUACCCGUUUCUGCUGACGGUACCUAAAGAAUAAGCACCGGCUAACUACGUGCCAG
rnacentral:rRNA from 1 species